rnacentral:lncRNA from 1 species
AGCCAGGAGAUGGGACAAGGAGGUUGCUUGUCCCCAGUCACCAGGAGACCAAGCUCAUCUGGUCUCCAAAGAACCCAAGGGGAGGAAAGAACAGGCAAACACAAGUACGAGGAGAGAGCUGCCAACCUACCGUGACAAAAACAGAGGCCAGGAGCAAGCCCACGGAGUAGAUCAGCCCCCUGCUAUUCAGCCGGAUGAGGACUACAGGCACACACCAUCACACCUGGCUGAUUUUUGAUUUUUUGUAGAGACUAGGUCUCACUACAUUGCCUGGGCUGGUCUUGAACUCCUGGAAGCAAGUGAUCCUCCCAGCUCAGCCGCCCAAAGUGCUCAUUACAAGCAGCCCAACAUGCUCUCAAAGUGGCUCAUUACAAGCAUGAGACACUGCAGUUUUAAUCUCAUCUUUAACCAAAUUUACAUUUAAAGAGCCACAUGUGGUUGUGCCCAUGAAUCUGUGCUUUAACUCCAGGUGAUUCUGAUGCACAGGAAAGUUUAAGAACCACUGAUUUAGAGAAAGCAUAAAGCUCAGAUCCACUUCUGUUCUCCAAGGGUUCUGCGGAAGGGAUCUUGACAUGGACUACAGACCCCAACCAAUGUACACUCUCCUGCAGGGAGUGAAAAGCUUCUCUACGUUCUUGGGAAGGGAAAGUAAAGGAAGACUCAAGUCAUAUCUCUGCGACACUAGAGCAAUGGCUUAACCUGGUUAAUUCAGCGUGGAAAAAUGGCAGAUCGGCCCAGUCACAGUCCAGCUUGUGGCUUAACUUCAUGCACACACUCAACCUGACUGUGGAUAGACUUUCCCACUUUCAUCAGCUGGGUUGGUAUAAAGAGGCCAACAUACAAGACUGCAUCGCAAAUGGGUUGUAUUGAAGAUUUUCUUCCUCCAAAUAUUCUGUCCACACUGACUAUGAUAAUCCCCUGUGUUCUGGUCAAUGUUGAAUGGGAGAGAUGGGCUCCUCAGAGCAAGAUGGCAACCCCUAGGAGAGAGAAAGAGGCUCUUGGAGCUAUCCUCAGUCACCCUUGGGUAGAUGUGAAACUGUAGAUAAACACUCAGGAAUCCUUUUGAGCUCUUAACUUUCAGCACUGCGCACACAGAUAUCUUCUGAGAGGGGCAAUGCAUUUCCAGCACAGCUUGCCCUCUGAGCUCCAGGGUCAAACCCUUGUCAGCAACAAGAACUUAGUAAAGUGAUUUCAUGCCCUUAAGAAACCAAGAGCCAGUGACCGCAAAGCUCCUAGCAGGAAAAUUCCCUUUGGCCAAACAUUUUCAAAAGGAAUCCUGUUAAACCAAAGCUUUUGAACUUUACUCUUCCUAUGUUCACAUGAAAUCUCGAAGAACAGUGUGGCUGAAAUUCUAAAUCUGGUUCCAGAGGCCAUAGGCAACUCACUCUUUUGUGGAGUUUCUGUGUUUUUAACUUCUCACCUUUUUCUCUAUAGCCUUCCUUUG